rnacentral:lncRNA from 1 species
CGAGAGUCAGACAGCGUGCUUCCGGGUGUUGAAGGGACAAUUAAUCUGUGAGGUUGCCUCUUUCUAAGCAAGUGACAAGUUGCUGUCAGACAAGCCCUCAAGGCGGGUUCCAGGAGUCUCUCACCUCCCACCUGUGCCUGCCAUGGAGCUCCUGAAGGCGCUGCUACUCCUGUCUGGAGUCCUCGGGGCUCUUGCUGAAUUCUGUGUAAUACCAAAGAUGGACGGCCAGCUGGUAGAGAAGCUGGGCCAGCGUCUCUUACCUUGGAUGGAUCGGCUUUCCUCAGAGCAGUUGAACCCCAGCAUCUACGUCGGCCUGCGGCUUUCCAGCAUGCAGGCUGGGACCAAGGAGAACCUCUACCUUCACAACCUCAAACUCCAUUACCAGCAGUGCCUC